rnacentral:RNase_P_RNA from 2 species
UAUUUCGGGUAAUCGCUACGUAAAGUAGAGGAAAGUCCAUGCUCACACAUUCUGAGAUGAAUGUAGUGUUCGUGCUUGGUGAAACAAUAAGCCAGGGCAAUUAUUGACGGCAACGAAAUAACCUAAGUUUAUUUUAAAUAUGGUUAGUGUAGUUUGAAAGUGCCACAGUGACGUAGCUUCUACAGAAAUGUAGAAGGUGGAACGCGGUAAACCCCUCGAGUGAGCAAUCCAAAAUUGGUAGGAGCACUUCUUUGACGGAAAUGAACGGAAUAAGAAGGUAUGUUAAACAUACAGACAGAUGAUUAUCACUGGCGUACGAGUGUAACUAGUACACGUUUGAAGUACUAAAGGACAGAACAUGGCUUACAGAU